rnacentral:rRNA from 1 species
AUUGAACGCUGGCGGCAGGCUUAACACAUGCAAGUCGAGCGGGGUGAUGGUGCUUGCACUAUCACUUAGCGGCGGACGGGUGAGUAAUGCUUAGGAAUCUGCCUAUUAGUGGGGGACAACAUCUCGAAAGGGAUGCUAAUACCGCAUACGUCCUACGGGAGAAAGCAGGGGAUCACUUGUGACCUUGCGCUAAUAGAUGAGCCUAAGUCGGAUUAGCUAGUUGGUGGGGUAAAGGCCUACCAAGGCGACGAUCUGUAGCGGGUCUGAGAGGAUGAUCCGCCACACUGGGAAUGAGACACGGCCCAGACUCCUGCGGGAGACAGCAGUGGGGAAUAUUGGACAAUGGGGGGAACCCUGAUCCAGCCAUGCCGCGUGUGUGAAGAAGGCCUUAUGGUUGUAAAGCACUUUAAGCGAGGAGGAGGCUCUUUUGGUUAAUACCCAAGAUGAGUGGACGUUACUCGCAGAAUAAGCACCGGCUAACUCUGUGCCAGCAGCCGCCGUAA